rnacentral:rRNA from 1 species
GACGAACGCUGGCGGCGUGCUUAACACAUGCAAGUCGAACGGAAAGGCCCUGCUUUUGUGGGGUGCUCGAGUGGCGAACGGGUGAGUAACACGUGAGUAACCUGCCCUUGACUUUGGGAUAACUUCAGGAAACUGGGGCUAAUACCGGAUAGGAGCUCCUGCUGCAUGGUGGGGGUUGGAAAGUUUCGGCGGUUGGGGAUGGACUCGCGGCUUAUCAGCUUGUUGGUGGGGUAGUGGCUUACUAAGGCUUUGACGGGUAGCCGGCCUGAGAGGGUGACCGGCCACAUUGGGACUGAGGUACGGCGCAGACUCCUACGGGAGGCAGCAGUGGGGAAUAUUGCACAAUGGGCGGAAGCUUGAUGCAGCAACGCCGCGUGCGGGAUGACGGCCUUCGGGUUGUAAACCGCUUUCGCCUGUGACGAAGCGUGAGUGACGGUAAUGGGUAAAGAAGCAACGGCUAACUACGUG